CCUACGGGAGGCAGCAGUGGGGAAUAUUGCGCAAUGGGCGAAAGCCUGACGCAGCGACGCCGCGUGAGGGAUGAAGGUCUUCGGAUCGUAAACCUCUGUCAGCAGGGAAGAAAGGUCACUGUGCUAAUCAGCAGUGAAUUGACGGUACCUGCAAAGGAAGCACCGGCUAACUCCGUGCCAGCAGCCGCGGUAAUACGGAGGGUGCGAGCGUUAAUCGGAAUUACUGGGCGUAAAGCGCUCGUAGGCGGUAUGUCAAGUCAAGGGUGAAAUCCCCGCGCUCAACGUGGGAAGUGCCGUUGAAACUGGCAAACUGGAGUGUGUGAGAGGAUAGUGGAAUUCCAGGUGUAGGAGUGAAAUGCGUAGAUAUCUGGAGGAAAAUCAGUUGCGAAGGCGACUAUCUGGCACAUAACUGACGCUGAGGAGCGAAAGCGUGGGUAGCAAACAGGAUUAGAUACCCUGGUAGUC
rnacentral:rRNA from 1 species